rnacentral:rRNA from 1 species
GAUGAACGCUGGCGGCGUGCCUAAUACAUGCAAGUCGAGCGAACGGACGAGAAGCUUGCUUCUCUGAUGUUAGCGGCGGACGGGUGAGUAACACGUGGAUAACCUACCUAUAAGACUGGGAUAACUUCGGGAAACCGGAGCUAAUACCGGAUGAUAUUUUGAACCGCAUGGUUCAAAAGUGAAAGACGGUCUUGCUGUCACUUAUAGAUGGAUCCGCGCUGCAUUAGCUAGUUGGUAAGGUAACGGCUUACCAAGGCAACGAUGCAUAGCCGACCUGAGAGGGUGAUCGGCCACACUGGAACUGAGACACAGUCCAGACUCCUACGGGAAGCAGCAGUAGGGAAUCUUCCGCAAUGGGCAAAAGCCUGACGGAGCAAAGCCGCGUGAGUGAUGAAGGUCUUCGGAUCGUAAAACUCUGUUAUUAGGGAAGAACAUAUGUGUAAGUAACUGUGCACAUCUUGACGGUACCUGAUCAGAAAGCCACGGCUAACUACGUG